rnacentral:rRNA from 1 species
AGAGUUUGAUCAUGGCUCAGGAUGAACGCUAGCGGAGGCCUAACACAUGCAAGCCGAGCGGUAUUGUUUCUUCGGAAAUGAGAGAGCGGCGUACGGGUGCGGAACACGUGUGCAACCUGCCUUUAUCUGGGGGAUAGCCUUUCGAAAGGAAGAUUAAUACUCCAUAAUAUAUUGAACGGCGAUCGUUUAAUAUUGAAAGCUCCGGCGGAUAGAGAUGGGCACGCGCAAGAUUAGCUAGUUGGUGAGGUAACGGCUCACCAAGGCGAUGAUCUUUAGGGGGCCUGAGAGGGUGAUCCCCCACACUGGUACUGAGACACGGACCAGACUCCUACGGGAGGCAGCAGUGAGGAAUAUUGGUCAAUGGGUGCAAGCCUGAACCAGCCAUCCCGCGUGAAGGACGACUGCCCUAUGGGUUGUAAACUUCUUUUGUAUAGGGAUAAACCUACCCUCGUGAGGGUAGCUGAAGGUACUAUACGAAUAAGCACCGGCUAACUCCGUG